GUGAAAUUGUUGAAAGGGAAACGAUUGAAGCCAGUCGUACCUGUGGGUAAUCAGCCUUUUGGGUGUGAUUUUGUGGAGUGUGAGGAGUUAAACGCCUUCAUGCCUGCAUAUUCGUGCACUUUGGGUGUAUUUACCCGUGUGGUAAGUUAACAUCAAUUUCGGUGGUCAUAAAAUGGCUGGAGGAAUGUAGCUUCGAUCUUGUAUUGAAGUGUUAUAGCCUUCGGUAGAUGUGAUAAUCGGGAUUGAGGAUUGCAACGGAUACCCCUCGGGGCUACCUGUCUGAUCUCUGAUACGUUGCCUUGAUGUUGAAAGCUUGCUUAUGAUGUUAGGGUAUUACGGUCAAAAGGUUAGAACGAAUUACAUUCGUUAAGGAUGUUGACGUAAUGGCUUUAAACGAC
rnacentral:rRNA from 1 species